CUCCCGCGCCGCGCGGCUGUACUUGUCGGCCAGGUCUUGCAGCAGCGUGUUCUUCCGCAGCCGCGGCGGCUGCGCCGCGCCCUCGCGGCAGGUGGGGCAGGCCCAGCGGCGCCGCGCGUCGCGCGAGUCCCACAGAGCUUCUUGUCAAUGCACACCCUGGGAGGCGGCAAGUGAUGGUUCAAGUACUUGGGUCCCUGCCACCCAUGUAGAAGACCUGGACUGUGCUCCUGACUCCGGACUCCAGCCUGGCCCAGCCCUGGCCAUUGUUUGCAUUCUGAGGGUGAACCAGAGGAGGAUGGGAGCUCUCCCUCUCUUGCUCUCUCUCACUCUGCACCCCCUCAAUAAGCAAAUUUAAAAUUAAGUGAUUGAUUUUAAUUUCAUUAAAAAACUUAAAAUGUAAACUAUGCCACUGCCCUCUCUCAUCUGCAGUAGGCUUUAAUUCCUGCACUGGGAGAAAGCCAAGUCCCUAACUGCUCAGGAUUCUGAACAACAGCCAGCACUGCCAGUGUGGAAACCCCGGGCAGCAGGAGGGAAGUGCUUGGGUCCCGGCUUCCUCCCCUCUCACAA